AGAGUUUGAUCCUGGCUCGGGACGAACGCUGGCGGCACGCUUAACACAUGCAAGUCGAACGAGAGAAGAGGAGCUUGCUUUUCUGAUCUAGUGGCGGACGGGUGAGUAACACGUGAGCAAUCUGCCUUUCAGAGGGGGAUACCGAUUGGAAACGAUCGUUAAUACCGCAUAACAUAAUUGAACCGCAUGAUUUGAUUAUCAAAGAUUUAUCGCUGAAAGAUGAGCUCGCGUCUGAUUAGCUAGUUGGUAAGGUAACGGCUUACCAAGGCGACGAUCAGUAGCCGGACUGAGAGGUUGAUCGGCCACAUUGGGACUGAGACACGGCCCAGACUCCUACGGGAGGCAGCAGUGGGGAAUAUUGCACAAUGGAGGAAACUCUGAUGCAGCGAUGCCGCGUGAGGGAAGAAGGUUUUAGGAUUGUAAACCUCUGUCUUCAGGGACGAAAAAAGACGGUACCUGAGGAGGAAGCUCCGGCUAACUACGUGCCAGCAGCCGCGGUAAUACGUAGGGAGCGAGCGUUGUCCGGAAUUACUGGGUGUAAAGGGAGCGUAGGCGGGAUCGCAAGUCAGAUGUGAAAACUAUGGGCUUAACCCAUAAACUGCAUUUGAAACUGUGGUUCUUGAGUGAAGUAGAGGUAAGCGGAAUUCCUAGUGUAGCGGUGAAAUGCGUAGAUAUUAGGAGGAACAUCAGUGGCGAAGGCGGCUUACUGGGCUUUAACUGACGCUGAGGCUCGAAAGCGUGGGGAGCAAACAGGAUUAGAUACCCUGGUAGUCCACGCCGUAAACGAUGAUUACUAGGUGUGGGGAGACUGACCCCUUCCGUGCCGCAGCAAACGCAAUAAGUAAUCCACCUGGGGAGUACGACCGCAAGGUUGAAACUCAAAGAAAUUGACGGGGGCCCGCACAAGCAGUGGAGUAUGUGGAUUAAUUCGAAGCAACGCGAAGAACCUUACCAGGUCUUGACAUCGUAUGCAUAGCUCAGAGAUGAGUGAAAUCUCUUCGGAGACAUAUAGACAGGUGGUGCAUGGUUGUCGUCAGCUCGUGUCGUGAGAUGUUGGGUUAAGUCCCGCAACGAGCGCAACCCUUACUGUUAGUUGCUACGCAAGAGCACUCUAGCAGGACUGCCGUUGACAAAACGGAGGAAGGUGGGGAUGACGUCAAAUCAUCAUGCCCCUUAUGACCUGGGCCUCACACGUACUACAAUGGCUGUCAACAGAGGGAAGCAAAGCCGCGAGGUGGAGCGAACCCCUAAAAGCAGUCUUAGUUCGGAUUGUAGGCUGCAACCCGCCUACAUGAAGUCGGAAUUGCUAGUAAUCGCAGAUCAGCAUGCUGCGGUGAAUACGUUCCCGGGCCUUGUACACACCGCCCGUCACGCCAUGGGAGUCGGUAACACCCGAAGCCUGUAGUCUAACCGCAAGGAGGACGCAGUCGAAGGUGGGAUUGAUGACUGGGGUGAAGUCGGAACAAGGUA
rnacentral:rRNA from 1 species